rnacentral:lncRNA from 1 species
GUCUGCGAUCACCCGGCGGCAUGCGCGCGAGCUCCCGGCCUGCGCGGGAGCUCCCGGCCUGCGCGACAACAGACCCAGGAAGGACCCAAGGACCCCAGAGGGGGUGUUUCAAGGGCGCCCGCGCGGCUACCUUCCUUCCUGGGUCUGUUGUCGCGCAGGCCGGGAGCUCACGCGCACGCCGCCGGGUGAUCGCAGACAGGCAGGUAGGCAGGCAGCUGAAAAAAACCCCCUCUGGGGUCCUUGGGUCCUUCCUGGGUCUGUUGUCGCGCAGGCCGGGAGCUCACGCGCACGCCGCCGGGUGAUCGCAGACAGGCAGGUAGGCAGGCACCUGAAAAAAACCCCCUGGCCCAUGAACUUAUAACUGUUUCC